GAGGGUGUAGCUCAGUGGUAGAGUGCGUGCUUGUCAAGCACGAGGUCCUGGGUUCAAGCCCCAGAACCUCCA
rnacentral:tRNA from 1 species